AGCGGCGGACGGGUGAGUAACACGUGGGUAACCUGCCUGUAAGACUGGGAUAACUCCGGGAAACCGGAGCUAAUACCGGAUAGUUCCUUGAACCGCAUGGUUCAAGGAUGAAAGACGGUUUCGGCUGUCACUUACAGAUGGACCCGCGGCGCAUUAGCUAGUUGGUGAGGUAACGGCUCACCAAGGCGACGAUGCGUAGCCGACCUGAGAGGGUGAUCGGCCACACUGGGACUGAGACACGGCCCAGACUCCUACGGGAGGCAGCAGUAGGGAAUCUUCCGCAAUGGACGAAAGUCUGACGGAGCAACGCCGCGUGAGUGAUGAAGGUUUUCGGAUCGUAAAGCUCUGUUGUUAGGGAAGAACAAGUGCAAGAGUAACUGCUUGCACCUUGACGGUACCUAACCAGAAAGCCACGGCUAACUACGUGCCAGCAGCCGCGGUAAUACGUAGGUGGCAAGCGUUGUCCGGAAUUAUUGGGCGUAAAGGGCUCGCAGGCGGUUUCUUAAGUCUGAUGUGAAAGCCCCCGGCUCAACCGGGGAGGGUCAUUGGAAACUGGGAAACUUGAGUGCAGAAGAGGAGAGUGGAAUUCCACGUGUAGCGGUGAAAUGCGUAGAGAUGUGGAGGAACACCAGUGGCGAAGGCGACUCUCUGGUCUGUAACUGACGCUGAGGAGCGAAAGCGUGGGGAGCGAACAGGAUUAGAUACCCUGGUAGUCCACGCCGUAAACGAUGAGUGCUAAGUGUUAGGGGGUUUCCGCCCCUUAGUGCUGCAGCUAACGCAUUAAGCACUCCGCCUGGGGAGUACGGUCGCAAGACUGAAACUCAAAGGAAUUGACGGGGGCCCGCACAAGCGGUGGAGCAUGUGGUUUAAUUCGAAGCAACGCGAAGAACCUUACCAGGUCUUGACAUCCUCUGACAACCCUAGAGAUAGGGCUUUCCCUUCGGGGACAGAGUGACAGGUGGUGCAUGGUUGUCGUCAGCUCGUGUCGUGAGAUGUUGGGUUAAGUCCCGCAACGAGCGCAACCCUUGAUCUUAGUUGCCAGCAUUCAGUUGGGCACUCUAAGGUGACUGCCGGUGACAAACCGGAGGAAGGUGGGGAUGACGUCAAAUCAUCAUGCCCCUUAUGACCUGGGCUACACACGUGCUACAAUGGACAGAACAAAGGGCUGCGAGACCGCAAGGUUUAGCCAAUCCCACAAAUCUGUUCUCAGUUCGGAUCGCA
rnacentral:rRNA from 1 species